rnacentral:rRNA from 1 species
CCUACGGGCGGCAGUGAGGAAUAUUGGACAAUGGAUGGAAAUCUGAUCCAGCCAUGCCGCGUGCAGGAAGACGGCCCUAUGGGUUGUAAACUGCUUUUAUACGGGAGCAAUAAGGUCUACGUGUAGACUGAUGAGAGUACCGUAUGAAUAAGCAUCGGCUAACUCCGUGCCAGCAGCCCCGGUC